rnacentral:rRNA from 1 species
GUAGCUGGUCUGAGAGGAUGGCCAGCCACACUGGAACUGAGACACGGUCCAGACUCCUACGGGAGGCAGCAGUGGGGAAUAUUGGACAAUGGGGGCAACCCUGAUCCAGCAAUGCCGCGUGUGUGAAGAAGGCCUGAGGGUUGUAAAGCACUUUCAGUGGGGAGGAGGGUUGAUUGGUUAAGAGCUGAUUAAUUGGACGUUACCCACAGAAGAAGCACCGGCUAACUCCGUGCCAGCAGCCGCGGUAAUACGGAGGGUGCAAGCGUUAAUCGGAAUUACUGGGCGUAAAGGGUGCGUAGGUGGUUUAUUAAGUUAUCUGUGAAAUCCCUGGGCUUAACCUGGGCAGGUCAGAUAAGACUGGUAGACUCGAGUAUGG